AAAAAGACAAACACUGGGUUUCCGUGUUCAACAUUUAACUGUCUGUCUUAUAUAAAUUUUUUUUAUAAUUAGUAUUUUUAUUAUUGUUAGAUGAUAAAACAUGAUUAAUACUUUAUGUGUGACUUGUCUUUUUUAUUUCUUUCUAUAAUUUUUUCAAAUAAGACGGACGGUCAAAUAUUGGACACAGAAACCUAGCGUUUAUU
rnacentral:pre_miRNA from 1 species